UACGUAGGGUGCAAGCGUUGCUCGGAAUCAUUGGGCGUAAAGAGCGUGUAGGUGGCUAGAUAAGUCGGAUGUGAAAUCCCUCGGCUCAACCGAGGAAGUGCAUUCGAAACUAUCUAGCUCGAGGAUGGCAGAGGAAGGUGGAAUUCUCGGAGUAGCGGUAAAAUGCGUAGAUCUCGAGAGGAACACCAAUGGCGAAGGCAGCUUCUUGGUCCAUACCUGACGUUGAGACACGAAAGCGUGGGGAGCAAACAGG
rnacentral:rRNA from 1 species